rnacentral:rRNA from 1 species
AGCAGUAGCCGCGGUAAUACGUAGGUGGCGAGCGUUGUCCGGAAUUAUUGGGCGUAAAGGGAGCGCAGGCGGACAUAUAAGUCCAUCUUAAAAGUGCGGGGCUCAACCCCGUGAGGGGAUGGAAACUGUAUGCCUUGAGUGCAGGAGAGGAAAGCGGAAUUCCCAGUGUAGCGGUGAAAUGCGUAGAUAUUGGGAGGAACACCAGUGGCGAAGGCGGCUUUCUGGACUGCAACUGACGCUGAGGCUCGAAAGCCAGGGGAGCGAACGGGAUUAGAUACCCCAGUAGUCCCUGUCUCUUAUACA